GCCAAGUCCACGUCGCAAAAACAAGUGUACGAGGUUGCGGCAAAGCCUGUUGUGGAGGAUUUUUCCACUUCACAGGAUGGUGUAGCAAAAGAGAAAGAGAAGAGAAAGGAGAAGAAAAUGUGGAAGAGGAGGAAGGAAAAAGAAUGAGAACUUAGCAAAAUGUCAACAAAAUCCGAAAUAAUGUUUCAUAAGUGGCUGAAUUACACAGAAAUAGUAUGAAGGAUUUUUUCGGUGUUGAUAUAGAUAUCCAAUUUAACAUCACCUUUGGCCACUGACAACUUUGACAAAGUAUUUACAUCAUUGAAUGCCUAUUAACUUUGACACCA